CAGAAAUCAGACUAACCCAAAGUAGCGCCCACGUGGAAGGGCCAGAAAUGUCAGGGACUUCAUUGUUCGGGCUGACACUUAUGUCCCCCUGAAAAUCAAUGAUGGACGACUGGACGAGGUGACCGGUUUCUACCCCUGCCGUAGUUGUGCGGCAUAUAGGGACUACUGUAAAAAAAUCACUUUAUCACCACUACCAUCAAUACUCCUCCAGCACCCAGUGUGUGUGUGUGUGUGUGUGUGUGUGUGUGUGUGUGUGUGUGAGUGAGACGCUGUCAUUCAUCUGGUCACUGUCAUCUGGUCUCUGGGACAUCUGGUCUCUGGGACAUCUGGUCUCUGGCACAUCUGGUCUCUGGCAUCUCUUUCAAAAUUUCUGGUAUGGAAACAAAGAAUUACAUGAGGUUAUUGAAAUAAGUCAUUUAAUAUCAAACAUGAUUUACAUAAUGUAAGCAAUGUGUUACUUACCACGCAGACUAUGACGUUUCACCUCUCUCCAUUGCUCAACAUCCAAUCCAUUCUCACAGACUCCAAACCCAUGGAAACAGUGGCAGCUGAGGUUUCUGGUUGCCUCUAACCCGUCCUUGACUGUUUUGAUGCAAUGCAACUUCAUGGUGGCAGGCACUUGCUUCAGACUACGGUGACUUCCCCUCACUGGGAAUGAAGAACAUGGUAUGGAGGUAAUGGGUACAGGUAUCUGGAGAUGCUUACUUUGUCAGAUUGUCUCUGCUGUAGUUGUAGAGCUCCUUUGCGUUUCUGAUCAGGGCUCGGCCAACCUUCACUGCUGUGGUUGCAUGGCUCUUGAUUACUGCACUUUCCCCAUCACUGGCACCUUGACCAUGUCUGGAGCCAGAAUUGUUGUGUUGUAUGGGGAAACCAAAAUCAGACACAGCUUAGCUAACAUCAGAUAUAGGUCCUUUUGAUUUGUAUUGUGCCCCACAGCCGUCAGAGUAUCUGUAGACCUUGUUGGGCUUCAGAUUUCUUUGGUUUUUUAGGUGAUCAAUUAUCUGCAGUUUGAAAUGCAUUGACUGCAUUGUAGUCAUGCUUGACGUCAUCUGAUAUCAUUAUACAACUGUCUGUGAUGGUCUUCUGGCAUUUCCCACAUUUGUAGUACAUUACCAAGGGGUGCAGUGUAGCACUCUAUUGGGUCCAGUAAGCCCCCUGGGCCUCUUGCUGGUACCUGCAAGUGUAGUUCUCGGCAAUGUCCAGGAUGCCCAAUGCUGUGUGUUCUGGGAGGUUGGCUGUCACUUUUGCAAGUUGCUUGUUCUGCCAGUCCUUGAUAAACAAGUGUUCUGAAAAAGCCUGAGCCUCUUGUUUCAGUUCAUCAAUAAACCUCUUCAUAGAUCCACGCUUACAGACCAGUGAUCAUUUUUUAUGGUGUACUCUUGUUUCCCAUUUGUUACUUUUUGUCUGACAAUCUCCCAUCUUUUCCACUCUAUGUCAGUGUCCUUUUUUUUUUUAGGAGGGGGCAAUAAAUGGAUCUAAUCUAUGGACACCACAAUCCUUGCACUGCAAUGUCAAGAAAGCUGGCUGCCUUCCCAUUCUUCUUACUCAACUUUUUCUUAUCUGGCACAUUGUGAGAGACUGCUUCAUAGAUAUUUUUCUACUGCUGAGACUGUAGAUUGAGGUAAUCUAUAUGUCGACCUCAUGGGCUUUUUUCUACUGACCCCAAAUCUUUUUGCAAACUGUCUCUGUAGUUUGUAUUUCUUAAUCAUAUUCAGUGAACAAGCCAAAGCUUUCCUAGUUGCAGAUUGUCUGGACUUUGAUAGGCCUUUGGCUACUGCUUCAACAACUGCCACAUCCUUCUUCUGAUGUUAAAUGGCUGCCUUCCUCGGUGAGGCCUUGUCAAUGAGGUCCAUGGUAGUAGUGACACUAUGCUGCCUGUUUUGACAUACAGGCUUUAUCCCUUUAAAAGCUCUUCCAUCCAGCAGAUGGAACCCGUAUAUCUAGCCCUGCUGUCUGCAAGGCUCUUUUAAAAUGUUCAAGUUGCUUUCUGCAUUCUUCUAAUUUAUCCUCUAGUUCCUUGAGACAAAUUUUCUCUGCCUCCAAUUUCUCUUGUUGUGCUUUCAUCUGCUUUGCCUGGUCAUUCUGCUUUGCCUUUUCUUUGUUCUGACCAUAUUUUUCCCGUCAUUUAGCUUUGUCUUUUUCAUGCUCCUCUUUUGACCUAGCUGCUCUCUGUUCACAUUUUCUUAAAACCAGCUUUGUAUUCUUCUUGUUCUUUUUCUGCAAUUCUGUUCUUGUAAGUGUUUUCUAAACACAUUUUUGGUUGCUCUGGGCGUCCUCUCUUCACUUUGCUCUCACCUUCCGCAUUCUCUGGGAAGCACUGGCAUUAUAUAUAUUUUUCAGCUGCUGCAGCUUUUCUGCCUUCUCCCUCUCUUUGCUUGAAAUGUUCCUAUUUUUUAGGAUACUGUCAGCAAGGGUCAUCUCAUGUCUAUAUGUUUUGUUGUCCUUUGUUUUUGUUUUUUUACUUUGAACCUGUAAAAUUAUUGUAAAUACGACACACACACAAUU